rnacentral:lncRNA from 1 species
CUGGGAAUGAUCCAGUGAAAAGUGGGAAAUGGGGAGCAUGAGGACAUACAAAGGGAAAGGGGUUAGGAAAGAUAUUCCAGAAAAAUGAACAGCGUCUGAAAGGACAACACUGAGAACAGGAAGAAGUUCAUCAGCGGUAAACAUAAAGGCAACACUGUAACUAGGAAGAAGAGGGAAGAACUCAUGAAUAUACUCUCCAAACGCAUGCAAACAGUGACCUACUUCUUCCAACUGGGCCCACCUCCUAACAGC